CGACCGACGUACGCCACGCAGAAGGUCGGCUCGAGCGCGCGCGGCGGUGGAGCGUCUCAAAGAAAUUAAUUGAAGGUAUCCCGAUUUUUUUGUAUUACUUUUCUCAGUCAUAACAUUGUCUGCCGUGUAAAUCUACCGUAAGAUCCUGAAACGGAGCGGAGUUAGAGAAACGUUUGUUCUCGCGCGACAGGAGCACGUGGCGAGGGCGCGCGCGCGAGAAUAAUACAGCGUGCUUCUGACGAAAUCCUGGUGCUUUAGGAAACCUGUGGAUCGUAACUGGCUGGUUCUGGCCGUGCACACAACUAGAGCCCCGCGCUGCUCGUCGUGUAAUGCGGGGUGUAGGAUGUGUGCUACAGUACAGCAGGAUCUCUGCCUUCCGCUCUCCGUCUCCUGAGAGCAGACACGCUUUAUGAUCCUGCUACAGCUUCAUUCGAGCUGCUGCUGUUGGGUGUUAAGACGAAGCGGAAGUUCUGGAGAGCACGUGAAGAGAUCAUUUCGACGGAGCACAUGCCAGCAGAUAAAGAGCAACAAAACGCUUGCAAAUAAAGUCUUCACUCAGUUUA